AUUUAAAAUUUUAAUAAAAAAUUAAUUUAAUUAAAUUAUAAUUUUUAAAGUAUUGAUAAUAUUUAUAGAUUUUAAUUUGAGUUAUUGAAAUAAAUAAUAAAAUAUGUUUAUAGUUAAUUAGUAUAUAAUUAGAAAAAUGAAAUAUUAUUAAAUAUUAAAAUAUAAAAUAAUAAAAAAUUGUAUUUUGUGUAUCAAAGAUUAUUUAAUUUAAGUUAUUUAUUUUAUCAAUCUCAAAAGUUUUGGGUAUAAUUUUAUAUUAUUGUUAUUGUAAUAAAAAUAUAAUUAAUAUAAAGUUAGAAAUGAAAUGUUAUUCGAUUAAAUUUAUAUUUAGUUUAAAAAGAAAUAAAUUUAAUUUAGUUAAAUUAAAGUAUCUCAUUAAUUAAUUAAUUAAGAUUUUUGAUUUAUUUAUUUUUUUAGGGAUAAGCUUAAAAAAUUAUUAAAUUUUUUUAUAAAAAAAAAAUUAAUUUAAUUAAAAAUUUUAAUUAAUUAAUUUGUUUUAAUAUUAUUUAAUUAAGUAUUAAUUUAGAUAUUUUUAUUUAUUUUCAAAUUUAUAAAUUUAGUAAUAAUGAUAGUAUUAGUAUAAAAAUAAAUAUUUUUAUAUUUUGUUUAAUAUAAAUUUAAUUAAUAAAUAUGAAUUCGACAAAAUAUAUAUUUACCUGUUUAACAAAAACAUGUCUUUUUGUAAUUUAUUUAAAGUUUAAUCUGCUCUCUGAAAGAAUUUUAAAGGCCGCAUUAAAAUGUGCAAAGGUAGCAUAGUAAAUAGUUUUUUAAUUGGAAACUAGAAUGAAUGAUUGGAUAAGAUAUAUAUUUUAUUUUUAUUAAAAUUAAAAUUUAAAUUUUUAGUGAAAAUGCUAAAUUAAGAAAAAAAGACGAAAAGACCCUAUAAAUUUUUAUUUUAAAAUAAGUAGUUAUCUUUAUUUAUUUUAAAAUUUAAUUGGGGUGAUUAAAAAAUUUAAUUAACUUUUUAGUUGUAUUUUCAUAAAUUAAUGUAAUUUUAUUUAAUUUAAAUUUUAAAAUAUAAAAUAAAAUACUUUAGGGAUAACAGCAUAAUUUUAAUUUAAAGAUUUUAUUUAAAUUAGAGAUUGUGACCUCGAUGUUGGAUUAAAAUAAUCUUAAAAAAAGAAUUUUAAGAUUUGAGUCUGUUCGACUUUUUAAUUUUACAUGAUCUGAGUUCAAACCGGUGUGAGCCAGGUUGGUUUCUAUCUUUUAAAAAAAAAUAAUUUAGUACGAAAGGAAUUGUUUAUUAAAAAUUAUUUAUGUUUAUAGAUUAAAAUUAAAUUAAUUUUA
rnacentral:rRNA from 1 species